CAAAAACCAUACUGAUAUUUAUCCCAAGGUGUAUAAACAAACAGAAGAAAACUAGAAGGGUUUUUAGGAUUCAUAUUUCCUUAAUCUGUGUUGCUUUCUCUUGAGAACAAGAGCUUAGAACAUGAAUAGGAUUCUUGAAAAGAUCAUCAGGAAAA